UCUUUCAAGUGGGCAAUCGAAUUAAGUUUGUUAUUAAGAGUAACUCCAGUUAGCCUCCAUUGUCUCCAAGCUGCCUUUCGUCCUCAUCCACAACUCCUCCACACAAGCUCUGAACACCUGUCCAUGAUUCAACGGUUUCAGGUACUCCCACCCUCAACCCUCUGGCAGGUAGAUUCACACAACCAACCCAGGCAGUGGUGCCACAUAAGACUUACAGCAUGGAGAAGCUGGCAAGAACUCAC